AUUGAACGCUGGCGGCAUGCCUUACACAUGCAAGUCGAACGGCAGCACGGGUGCUUGCACCUGGUGGCGAGUGGCGAACGGGUGAGUAAUACAUCGGAACGUACCUUAUCGUGGGGGAUAACGCAGCGAAAGCUGUGCUAAUACCGCAUACGCCCUGAGGGGGAAAGCGGGGGAUCGAAAGACCUCGCGCGAUUAGAGCGGCCGAUGCCUGAUUAGCUUGUUGGUGGGGUAAAAGCCCACCAAGGCGACGAUCAGUAGCUGGUCUGAGAGGACAGUCCGCCACAGUGGGACGGAGAAACGGCCCAGAAUCCUACGGGAGGGAGCAGUGGGGAAUUUUGGACAAUGGGGGCAACCCUGAAUCAGCAAUGCCGCGUGGGUGAAGAAGGCCGUCGGGUUGUAAAGCUCUUUUGUCAGGAAAGAAACACCGGCACUAAGACAGUCCGGGAAUGACGGUACCUGAAGAAUAAGCACCGGCUAACUACGUGCCAGCCGCCGCCGUAA
rnacentral:rRNA from 1 species